GCACCCGUAGCUCAGUUGGAUAGAGUGCAUGACUACGAAUCAUGAAGUCGCAAGUUCGAAUCUUGCCGGGUGUA
rnacentral:tRNA from 1 species